AUGGCUUCAAACUCGAAUUGGACAGCAAAACAAAACAAAAGAUUUGAGAAUGCAUUGGCAAUGUUGGAGAAGGACACUCCAGAUCGUUGGCAGAAGGUGGCUAGAGCUGUGGGAGGAAAGACAGUAGAAGAAGUGAAAAGACAUUAUGAGAAGCUUGUUGAUGAUGUGAAGCUGAUUGAGGAAGGACAUGUUCCACUGCCAAAGUACACAAAUAACGGUUGCAAUUACAUGAUGGAUCAAGAAAAAAGGAUGAAGGCUCUAAGUCUGCAGUAA